rnacentral:rRNA from 1 species
UACGUAGGGUGCAAGCGUUGUCCGGAAUUAUUGGGCGUAAAGAGCUCGUAGGCGGUUUGUCGCGUCUGCUGUGAAAACCCGAGGCUCAACCGCGGGCCUGCAGUCGAUACGGGCAGGCUAGAGUUCGGUAGGGGAGACUGGAAUUCCUGGUGUAGCGGUGAAAUGCGCAGAUAUCAGGAGGAACACCGAUGGCGAAGGCAGGUCUCUGGGCCGAUACUGACGCUGAGGAGCGAAAGCGUGGGGAGCGAACAGG